rnacentral:rRNA from 1 species
UACGAAGGGGGCUAGCGUUGCUCGGAAUCACUGGGCUUAAAGGGUGCGUAGGCGGUCCGCCAAGUGCUUUGUGAAAUCCCACAGCUCAACUGUGGAACAGCAGGGCAAACUGGAGGACUUGAGGCAGGUAGGGGCUGGAAGAACAGUUGGUGGAGCGGUGAAAUGCGUAGAUAUCAACUGGAAUGCCGAUGGGGAAGCCGUCCAGCUGGGCCUGUCCUGACGCUGAGGCACGAAAGCGUGGGGAGCAAACAGG